GCAGGAGAGAGACAUGUGUUGUGCUGUUGAACUGACGAAUGUGUUUUGCAUGUGUUACAGGUGCUGAGCUUUCUGUUCCUCAUACCAUCGGCCACUUGCCGUCCUCCCCCAAGACACGCGACAAGCUCAUCAAGUCGAUCUCGGGUUGGCGGACGACUCCCCUCUCCCGGCGUUAUUCUGGCGGUGGCCGCUGCGCCUCCUCACCGUGGUCCGGCACUGAUCUGGCCGUCGGGGAGUGAUGGGUCUAAUUGCUAAUAACGCCUAACCUUUCCCCAGCCUUGCAGGGCAUUCAUCAGAGGAGGGGCGUCUG
ensembl:lncRNA